rnacentral:misc_RNA from 1 species
UCCGUAUUCUUUCCGCUUCCGCUGUAAGAACCAAUAGUGUGAGAGAGAAGAAAAUCAUUAAAAUAAGCUAAGAAGGUGGACCACAAGAUGUAGCAAGAAAUAAUAUUACAGUCGGUCAAUGUUUCAUUUUCCCUCUCCUUAUUCUGUCCUGGUAAACAAAAACCAUUCACCUAGGACAGCGACAAAAUAAUUAUACAUGUCUUUAAUCGCCAACCCAUAUUUUCCAUUUCACCAUUGCUGACCUCAUUUAAGCCUCCUGCCAACCAUUGUCAAAAUAACCCCCUUGCCAAUCAAUGUGCCGGGACUUGUCCAGUUCCUCAAGUUCCCACCCAUCCUACAACCUAUAUUUAGAAUCACUAUUAUAAUUGACCUUGCCUGAGCUAUCAUGGUUGUCAGUGCAUAUGCAUCCCAGGUCACUGACCAUCAUCCUCACCUGGUCUUCUCUUGCGCAUAAUCAAUUUGAACCACAUGCUGCUCCACCAUCUACUCUUGAAAACACUCAUUAGCCUAAUUGCUCUUUCUCCCGGCAAAAUCAUGAAAUGUUGAAAUAUAUUGAAGUUCUCAUCAAGUGAAUCAAAUACACAAAGCAAUAAUAUAUGGAAUACAAAACAUCAAAGAAAUAUUGGCUGCAUUCAGAAUAUAGGAAUAUGAAGGGGUAUCAUGCAGGUUACGACUUAGAAAGUUAGGAUACUUCAAACAUUUUGUACAUUACCACCUGCCUAGACAUUCUAGUUCUAUUGCACUGCAAUUCCCAAUAAUAAUAGACACCACAAAGAAAAGAGGUGGAAGAAGAAACUAAAUAAAAGAGAGAACAAAAUCUAUCACGCAGUCAAUCAAUGGACAAUAGACAAUACAGACAGAAAGACAUACAAAUAUGAGAAAGUGGAAUCAAGAAAUUCCUGGACUGGUUUCUGACUACUCAUCUAAUGUCUUGACAAGGAAGGUGAUUUGAUCAGAAAUGACUGAGUUGGUCAUAAUAUCAAGUUUCUUUCAACCCUUAAAAAGUUAGGAUUUUAACCUCCUAUUCCACUAUGAUUGUUCAGCAAAAUAUGUGAUACAGAUUUAGAAGCUUACAAGGGGAAACUGCAUAUUUCAUAUCUGAAAAGUAAAAUCUUACAAAAGAAAAACUAGGCUUUUAGUCAUGAAAAGAGUUAAUAUUAGCAUGAGGCAUGUGCCUUAGUACACAUAAGAAGCAACUAUGAAUUCUUGUCCCUUCUACAUAAUGGAUUAAUGUGUUUUCCCUUGCCUAGCAAAUACAGUAUUUUGUACAGGACACCAAUGAUCAUAUUCAGUAGAAGAAGAACAGUUGGUGAGAACAUGUUAUUAUACAAGAAAGCAAGGGUGGGAAGCUACCUGGAAGAUUUGGUUUGAGAUCAACGGUCAACUGAACUGCAACAAGAGAG